rnacentral:rRNA from 1 species
GACGAACGCUGGCGGCGUGCUUAACACAUGCAAGUCGAACGGAAAGGCCCUGCUUUUGUGGGGUGCUCGAGUGGCGAACGGGUGAGUAACACGUGAGUAGCCUGCCCUUGACUUUGGGAUAACUUCAGGAAACUGGGGCUAAUACCGGAUAGGAGCUCCUGCUGCAUGGUGGGGGUUGGAAAGUUUCGGCGGUUGGGGAUGGACUCGCGGCUUAUCAGCUUGUUGGUGGGGUAGUGGCUUACCAAGGCUUUGACGGGUAGCCGGCCUGAGAGGGUGACCGGCCACAUUGGGACUGAGAUACGGCCCAGACUCCUACGGGAGGCAGCAGUGGGGAAUAUUGCACAAUGGGCGGAAGCCUGAUGCAGCAACGCCGCGUGCGGGAUGACUGCCUUCGGGUUGUAAACCGCUUUCGCCUGUGACGAAGCGUGAGUGACGGUAAUGGGUAAAGAAGCACCGGCUAACUACGUG